UGAGCUGUGGGGCCAGGCACAAGACAUGGAAAGAGGGUCUCAUGUAUUGGAAAUAACAAAAGAAUAGAUAACUGGAGACUGUUAUAUAUCAAGACGUAACAAAACCGAAACACAGCAGAGGGGCAUCAUGUGCAGAAGGUUGGGAGAAUGCAAGGCCGAAUCAGACAGUGUCCUGAGUGCCAUAAACUGAUCUUUCCUGCUGGUCCAGAGAUUACGAUUCAGUGCCUUCACUGUCGUAGCCUGUUCAUGGUUAUCAUUUAAAGUAAUAAAUCUGAAAUACUGACUGAUCUUGAGAAGCAGAAUUAUGUCAUUGAUCAGUCAAAAUCAAUUCACUCCAUGUUACAGUUCCACAUCAGCAAUGCCAGCUGAAACUGCCUGGCGUGCAAUCAGUUUAAAACAAGAAUAGAGGGGAGUUCAGGAAAAGUGAAGGGCAAUGAUAGUUUGUGAGAGUUGGCUGGAGGCCAAGUGGAGUCAGGUUCAAUGUGGGUGCUGAAGACCAGUCUUCACUGUUACCGUGUUAUACAGACCACAUUGGAUCAAUCACACAAGGAUCCUCCUUUGUGUGUUGUCCUUUGCACAUCACAACUCGGGUCAGUGCCUCGAGGGGCUCGGAUACUUUUAAUGUGGCAACUAACUCAGGUCAGUUUUGCACAAACUAAGCUGUGUCGGGACACUAUUUAAACGGACCACCACUCAUUGCAAUGACCCAGAACUAUGCAGAAAGAGGAAGAACACCAAUACAAAAUCUUCGCUUUGAAUGGAUAUCCCUGCAAUUUCAUCCGCAGGUGCUGACUAAACAGCAACACGAAGAGGACACAUUAUGCCCUAACACACUGGACACACUGCCAUACAUCAAGAACAUAUCAGAACUGACAACUCCUAUGACCACUAGGAGUUACGGUAGCACACAAGCCCAAAGCCAUGCUACGACAAACAUUCUCAAGGAUUAAAGACCCCAUACCCACGACAUGCAGAACUGACAUUGUUUACAAAAUACCGCGCAACGAUUACCACGAACAUUAUAUCAGACAGACAGGAAGGAAACUAGCCAUCAGUGUACAUGAACAUCAGCCGGCAGCAAAAUGACAUGACAAACUUUCCCUAAUAUCAGUACACCCGGAUAAUGAAGGCCAUCAGUUUAACUGGGACAACAUAACCAUAGUAUUGCAAACCAAACACAGACACACAUGGGAAUUCCUAGAGGCAUGGUUCUCAAUCCAUAAUGCAGUCAGCAAACAUAUAGAAUUGGACCCCAUAUGCAACCCAUACAGAACAGAAUGCACAAUGACAGAAGUCGCCGGAACGGACCAGGCAGUAUAAAUUCCAAGUGGAGGAGGACAACAUCACUUCAUCGGAAGUCUCACCCAUGACGUUACCUCGCAUGGUGACGAAAAGUCUAAACGAAAACAAGCUCACAACUUUACUUGUUAACUUUACUGUUUUAUGUGUGGCUCAAAGUCAGUCUUUGUGAUAUUAUACACACACUGUUCUACCUGCUUAUCCCGCUGUACACAAGGUUUCCCAACAAAAGGCAGCUUUAUGUGGAACAUAAGCAGUUUCUCCUGACAAUGGGCACCGUUGCCAUGAGCUGGGAUAUGAAAUAGACUGUGAGCUGAAGUAGCCCCACACUCAUGUUACUCAUUUACCUUUCACUUUCAAUUUUCAAUUUCCAACACCCAGCGAUCCAUUCACUUCAGCUGCUGGGAACCUGACAAGAACAGCGUUGGGCAGACAUUCCUCUUCGGGAGAUUCUGUCAGUUUGCAAGGGUAGAAAAGCUGUCAACUUUACUCGAGUGAGACAGGAUACAAUAUUCCAAUCCAAAUUCCGACGCAGUAUCAAUGACACCACUGGCUCCACAUGUCUUGCUGCAGCUUUCAUCCCGUAGAUUGUGAUGUAAUCAGGGAUACUGGCAGAAAAACCAUUUGCAAGGUGAAUAUCCAAUAAAAUAAUCACCGUCACUGCUGCACUUCAAUGUUCUCCCCUUUGUGAAGCAGUGAAUGUCACUGGCAAACGAAACACAUUAGCCCUCACAUGCCUGCUUCACUAUCCCCUCACCUGUUUGCCACCUGUUUCUCUGCUGGAACUUGCCAUUGUUUUAUUCACAGUCAUUGCAAAAUUCUGCCUCACAUAUCUUUUUUUAUUACAUAAUCUCCUCGCAACUUAAAAACAUCCCCCCAGUCUUGAAAUCUCCCACCCUUGGGAAAUGAUGACCAUAAUUCAUACUAUCUACAUGUCUCAUUAUUUUAUGAACUUCUAACAGGCCGCCUCUCAACCUCUUAAGCACCAGCGAGAAAAGUCAAAGUCUAUCCAACCUUUCUUUAUAAAUCAAACCUUCCAUACCAGGCAAUAUCCUGGUAAACCUCUUCUUAACACUCGCCAGCUUCAUAAUAUGCCUCCUGUAAUUGUGCGACAGAAACCGCGCACUGUAUUCCAGAAGAGGUCUCAUCAACAUCCUGUGCAACCUCAAUAUGACUUCCCAACUCCUAAACUGAAACGAUCGAGCAAUGAAGGCUGGCGUGCCAAAAGCAUGUUUAACGACUGUCUAAAUGUGAUGUAAACUUCAAAUAAUCAUAUACCUGGAUCCCCUAGGUCCAUGAGUAGACACCUUAACAGUGAGACAAAGUCUGUGGGAGGAUGGGGAAUAGUUUUGAAUUUCUUUGACCUCACAUCUAAAGAAAUUAUUUGUACACAUGCAGCCGAAUAAGAUCAACAAUUCAUUCUUCGUGAAGAACUAUAAAUGAACCUGAACAUUUUUCCAUUAAAAAGUUAGACCCUCUCGAGUCAGAAGAAAGACGUCGCUGUUCUGUUUCUGAGCUUAUGUUAUCCAACGAGUUCUGUACCAUGUCAUUCAUUCACCAUAUCCUGAUACAUGAACUUUGGAUCACUCUCCAAAGGUAUCAGUAACUAUUGCCAAUCCUCAGUUACAUCUGGAUAAUUUGAUGUUUGACCUUUCUGAACCAGUGCAGGUCGUGUGGUGAAGUCGCACUUGCAAUGAUAUUAGGUAAGGAGUUCCCAAAUGAUCAUGAAGAAUUAGUGAUGUUUUCCAAAAGGACAAUUUAAAUGUUUUCACAUUUUUGAUUCAAUUCAAUGAUCUGACAUAUUACACAAGGUUGUCAUAAAACAAUAUUUGAUACCAGGCACUUAUUAGGACAAGUGACCCAAAACUGGCCAAAGAAGUAGGUUUCAAGGAAUAUCCUGAACAAACAAAGGGCUUUGAAUCCAGGGAUGUUUAGGGAAUAAAUUCAAGAGCUUAUGGCCUUGGAAGCUGAAAACAUGAAAAAGGUGGGAGAGUUAAAACCAGAAAUCUACUGGCGGUUGGAAGUCAGGGAGAACAAAUGUCUUGAAGGAAAAACCAAAAGAACAGUAGAUGCUUGAAAGUAGUAACACAAGCAGAAAUUGAUGAAAAACUCAGCUUAUCUGGCAGUGCUUAUGGAGAAAGAGCAGCAUUAUUGUUUUAUGACCAGUAACCCUUCUUCAGAUAUACCUCAGAGGGUUUUGCAGCUGGAGGGACUAUCAAACGAAGGAGAUAUAAUGACAAAAUUUCUAAAUAAGGAUAUGAAUUUCAAUACCUUGGUGCUUUGCCACCCAGAAAAUGUGCAUGUUAAUGAGCACAGGAUGGCAAAACUCGAAGAUGCUGAAAUGGGUGAGAGUAAACACAUGGGCAGCAGAUUUUUGGAUCAUCUCAAGAUUUCAGGGAAGUAGUAUUAAGAAGCCGGCCAGGAGUGUGUUUGGGGAGUUAAGUCGAGAGGUAACAAAGGAAUGGAUGAGAGUUUCAGCAGCAAAUGAACUAAGAUGCUGUUGAGGUUGAAAUUGUAUGUGGCCUUUGUGAUAAUGGGCGGGGUGUGAGUAAUGUGGUUGGAAGCUCACCUUGGGGUGAAAUAUUGCACCAUGACUGUGAGCAGUGUGUUACCAGCCAGUUACCAGGGGCAGGGAUGGAGUCAGUGGUGACGGAGUGGAGUUUGGCUGCCAGCCUGGAUUGAUAUUUAGCAUUUUCUAUUUAAAUGUGAUCUAUACCCCUUUUCAAACAGGAACAGACUUGGCAGCAGAACUAAUUUGUGAACCAACUGUCGGCUUUAUUGAGACAAAGUGUGGAGUUUAUCUGUUAUGAAGUAAACUACAGUGACAAACUCAGACAGCUAUUUCCAGGUCCACUGUACCAGGUGUGGCUUCCUCUACAUUGGGGAAACCAAGCGGAGGCUUGGAGACCGCUUUGCAGAACACCUCCGUUCAGUUCGCAACAAACAACUGCACCUCCCAGUUGCAAACCAUUUCCACUCCCCCUCCCAUUCUUUAGAUGACAUGUCCAUCAUGGGCCUCCUGCAGUGCCACAAUGAUGCCACCCGAAGGUUGCAGGAACAGCAACUCAUAUUCCGCCUGGGAACCCUGCAGCCUAAUGGUAUCAAUGUGGACUUCACCAGCUUCAAAAUCUGCCGUUCCCCCACCGCAUCCCAAAACCAGCCCAGUUCGUCCCCUCCCCCCACUGCACCACACAACCAGCCCAGCUCUUCCCCCCCACCCACUGCAUCCCAAAACCAGUCCAACCUGUCUCUGCCUCCCUAACCGGUUCUUCCUCUCAGCCAUCCCUUCCUCCCACCCCAAGCCGCACCCCCAUCUACCUACUAACCUCAUCCCACCUCCUUGACCUGUCCGUCUUCCCUGGACUGACCUAUCCCCUCCCUACCUCCCCACCUAUACUCCCUCCACCUAUCUUCUUUACUCUCCAUCUUCGGUCCGCCUCCCCCUCUCUCCCUAUUUAUUCCAGUUCCCUCUACCCAUCCCCCUCUCUGAUGAAGGGUCUAGGCCCGAAACGUCAGCUUUUGUGCUCCUGAGAUGCUGCUUGGCCUGCUGUGUUCAUCCAGCCUCACAUUUUAUUAUCUCUAUUUACAGUUGAAUGUGGAUUAUACUGCUUAUGCCAAUAACUAGGCAGUAGAGCAGUGAUACAACUUAUUGGAGUUUUUGCAGCCUCGGCCUUCAAACUUUUUCUUCUGUCAUGGACUUUUAUCUUCUGAUUCUCGUUGCUUUCCAUUACACAGACCUUUCUUGAGAAUCUCUUUUCUGCUUGUUCUUUUUUGAUUAACCUCCCUCUCUGCCCAAUCACAGUUCAUAUGAACAACACUCACCUCACUUAACCACGUGGUGUUCUUCAUAUUCAUAAUUAUUCUCUUUACAUCUUACCUGAGGACUGCUAUACCUGUAUUUAUCACCCUUAUUUCACUGCUAUUUCUCUAUUCGCUGCCAGAGCGGUAUCAAGAGCUAUCUUUAGCUUUGAGCUGCAGGAAGCCUUUUCAAUCGCGACUUAUUAAAAAUAAACAAAAGAACUGGGAUGUUAUAAAUCAGGAACAAAAACAAAGUUGCUGGAAAAGCUCAGCAGGUCUGGCAGCAUCUGUGAAGGUAAAAAGACAGAGUUAACGUUUCGGGUGCAGUGCCCCUCCCUCAGAGCGACUUAUUAAAACCCCAGGAUCGCGAAUGUAACAAUCUUUCUCAUCCAGUUCUCAGUCUCAUUUGUCUCAAAAUGCAACAUUGUGAUGACCAUCAUUAGCUUCUCACAAUGACAACAUGAAGCACUGCGCAUGCUCCAGAUCACAAUGGCAUCUGGGUGAUUGAUGUCAGCGAGGGGCCAAUAGGGCUGCCGUGCAUGACUGGCGGAUGUCGCUGCCAUUCUAACCAAUCAGAAUGAGGAGGGGGGGGCGGGAUCGGUGAAAACCACAUGAUCAUUCACGAGAGCAGCGCAGAGUUGCUCAGAUAAUUUGAACCGCAGAUGCUGGAGAAUCCGAGAUAACAUGGUGUAGAGCUGGAUGAACACAGCAGGUCAAGCAGCAUCAGAGGAGCAGGAAAGCUGACGUUUUGGGCCUAGAUCCUUCGCUGAGUCCAAGAUUUGUGCAAUUGAGCUGCACCCCCAUUUACUGCCUACUAACCUCAUCCCACCCCCCUGACCUGUCUGUCCUCCCUAAACUGACCUAUCACCUCACUACCUCCCCACCUAUACUCACCUUUACCUGCUCCAUGCUGGCAUCUUUGACUUGUCCGUCUCCUCUCCACAUAUCUUCUCUCUCCAUCUUCGAUCUGUCUCCCUAUUUAGUUCACAACCCAAUUAUCUCAGGAUUUUGAACGUUGAAGAAGAAAGCAGCACUCACACUUUGGACAAAUGCAAAUGGUUUGUGUGUAAAAGAGUCUGAAGAUUCAUCUGAAAUGUUCUAACACCAUCGCAGUGACACUUGGGAGACACUGUGGAAAUGGGCAGAUUGCAAGAAGGAAUUUCUUCAUCCAUCCCAGCUGGAAACUGACCACCAGAGUCACACUGGAGAGAAACCAUUCACCCGCUCUGAUUGUGGUAUGGGAUUCACUCAGUCAUCUAACCUGUUUAAACACCAGGGAGUUCACACUGGAGAGAAACCAUUCACUUGCUUGGAAUGUGGGAAAGCAUUCACUCAGACAACUCACCUACUGAUACACCAGCAAAUUCGCACUGGAGAGAGACCAUUGGCCUGUUCUGUGUGUGGGAAAGUUUUUCUGACUCGAAUUCCCCUCUGACACACCAGCGAUUUCACUCUGGGGAGAGACCAUUCGUGAGCUCUGAGUGUGGGAAAGCAUUCACUCAGUCAUCCAAACUGUCACAAAGAACCACAGUUAAAGGAUUUUGCUAUCACGCUCACGAUCAAAUGAACCAUAGUUUUUGGCUGUUUGUACUGAUGUUACUAAUCUCUGCUCAAUUAAAGGUGCUGAUGUUGUGAAUAAAA